rnacentral:rRNA from 1 species
AGUGGCGGACGGGUGAGUAACGCGUAAGAAUCUAACUUCAGGACGGGGACAACAGUGGGAAACGACCGCUAAUACCCGAUGUGCCGCGAGGUGAAACCUAAUUGGCCUGAAGAAGAGCUUGCGUCUGAUUAGCUAGUUGGUGGGGUAAGAGCCUACCAAGGCGACGAUCAGUAGCUGGUCUGAGAGGAUGAGCAGCCACACUGGGACUGAGACACGGCCCAGACUCCUACGGGAGGCAGCAGUGGGGAAUUUUCCGCAAUGGGCGAAAGCCUGACGGAGCAACGCCGCGUGAGGGAGGAAGGUCUUUGGAUUGUAAACCUCUUUUCUCAAGGAAGAAGUUCUGACGGUACUUGAGGAAUCAGCCUCGGCUAACUCCGUGCCAGCAGCCGCGGUAAUACGGGGGAGGCAAGCGUUAUCCGGAAUUAUUGGGCGUAAAGCGUCCGCAGGUGGUCAGCCAAGUCUGCUGUCAAAUCAGGUUGCUUAACGACCUAAAGGCGGUGGAAACUGGCAGACUAGAGAGCAGUAGGGGUAGCAGGAAUUCCCAGUGUAGCGGUGAAAUGCGUAGAGAUUGGGAAGAACAUCGGUGGCGAAAGCGUGCUACUGGGCUGUAUCUGACACUCAGGGACGAAAGCUAGGGGAGCGAAAGGGAUUAGAUACCCCUGUAGUCCUAGCCGUAAACGAUGGAUACUAGGCGUGGCUU